rnacentral:rRNA from 1 species
GACGAACGCUGGCGGCGUGCUUAACACAUGCAAGUCGAACGGAAAGGCCCUGCUUUUGUGGGGUGCUCGAGUGGCGAACGGGUGAGUAACACGUGAGUAACCUGCCCUUGACUUUGGGAUAACUUCAGGAAACUGGGGCUAAUACCGGAUAGGAGCUCCUGCUGCAUGGUGGGGGUUGGAAAGUUUCGGCGGUUGGGGAUGGACUCGCGGCUUAUCAGCUUGUUGGUGGGGUAGUGGCUUACCAAGGCUUUGACGGGUAGCCGGCCUGAGAGGGUGACCGGCCACAUUGGGACUGGGAUACGGCCCAGACUCCAACGGGAGGCAGCAGUGGGGAGUAGUGCACAAGGGGCGGGAGCCUGGUGCAGCAACGCCGCGUGGGGGAUGACGGCCUUCGGUUUGUGAACCGCUUUCGCCUGUGACGAAGCGUGAGUGACGGUAAUGGGUAAAGAAGCACCGGCUAACUACGUG